AUUGAACGCUGGCGGCAGGCCUAACACAUGCAAGUCGAGCGGUUGAAGGAAGCUUGCUCCUGGAUUCAGCGGCGGUCGGGUGAGUGAUGCCUAUGAAUCUGCCUCUUCGUGGGGGAUAACGUCCGGUACCGGGCACUAUUACCGCAUCCGUCUUGCGUGAGAAGAUGAGGGAUCUUGGGACCUCGCGCUCUCACAUUAGCCUAGGUCGGAUUAGCUAGUUGGUGGGGUAAGGGCUUACCAAGGCGACGAUCCGUAACUGGUCUGAGAGGAUGAUCAGUCACACUGGAACUGAGACACGGUCCAGACUCCUACGGGAGGCAGCAGUGGGGAAUAUUGGACAAAGGGCGAAAGCCUGAUGCAGCCAUGCCGCGUGUGUGAAGAAGGUCUUCGGAUUGUAAAGUACUUUAAGUUGGGAGGAAGGGAAGUAAGUUAAUACCUUGCUGCUUUGACGUUACCAACAGAAGAAGCACCGGCUAACUUCGUG
rnacentral:rRNA from 1 species